AUACGUGGGACUCUUCUGUACGACGUGUCACAGCGACAGUGGGAAGACGCAUGUUGACCUUAAGGGAUGAAAGCACUACUCCCACAUUGACCGUUUCAUCCCUCCUGCAUGCCAGGACCACCGGACAUCCGCCCACGACACAUCGACAAAUUUCCAGCAGAAGCAGCAAGUUCCCAUUCCAACUGGAUGAGGAAUCAAAUUACAUGGGGCUUAUGGUGCUGGAUGCCAGUAUUUGGUAAGGAUAAUGGCCGGUGGUCCUGCUGGUCCUUCGGAAACUCUUGCGUAUCCUGCACGUAAUACGGAUCCAUUAAAAUCAAAUAGGAUCCUUAGAUAAAUAUAGACUACGUUUACUAAGACCCGGUAAUAAUUUAGUCCAGAUAUUCUUGGAAUGCGUCCCAGGACCAACAUGUAGCGCAUAAACGAUUAUACGGAGACGUGGAACAGUUUCUCGGUCCAUAUACCCCAUAAGCUCAUAUAUGGGUAUGAGACCACAGGAUGUCCAGGAAGUCCAAGAUCCUGGCUGGGUGAUUGACGACCGAAGGGUUGCUUGCGGUGGGACACUUGUGUGAAGCACAGGGAAGCGACAUGCGAUCCUUUCCCAGCUUCCAACCACCUGCACUUACCAAAAAUAGAGGCAAAAAAAACGAGAUCAGUACCACCAUACGUGGUGGUCAAGAAAAUAAAAAUAGUCUGUACCAAUGUGCAAUUAUUCAGCAUGCAGCCCGAAGAAGGAUUAUCUGGAGAGCAGAAAACAAGCGAAGUAAAAUCCUAUUUUACACUCCAAUAUACCAACGACAAUGUCUACCCGGCCGAGAAAAAUUUCGCGAAUGGAUGACGUCGUCGAAGAAAGAAAAGCGAAAGAAAAAGAGAAGGAGAAAAAAGUAGUGUGGGUAAACAUAAAAGCAAAAUGGAUGUCCUUGCGUCGUUAGCCUGGUAUUACCUUGACAGUAAGAGGCAUUAGCGUGCAAUCCCUUCGUCCACUCUCUCUUGCUCUGUGCUACUGGAGCAUGGGGUCCCAUAGUAAUGGAGUAGCAGGUUGUCGCGCGAACCAUGAAACGAAUGCCUGUUUGUGAAAACACGGUAUUCCCUGACGGCGGGAUACUUCAGGAAAUGGUCAUCCAUUGUUCUUCCAUUAUUGGCGACCAUCGAGGCGUAUCGAUCCUUACACCUAAUCCUUUAAUCUUUGGGAAAUGGAGCUGUUUUUCGAAAACAGAUCGUACUUCGUUAUUGUCCAUUCUCGGUUGUCCCAGGUGGUAAGGAUACCAGAAACACAGUGAGUAUCCUUAUGGAAUUCGGAAAGAUUAUAGAGGAAGUUUCAAAGAGUGUAGUCCUGAGAUCCAUAACCUUUUGCAGGGUAAACGAGACCAGGAUUAACCUGGACCGAGGAGAGAUGGCGCUGUCAGCCCUGAUGCCAGUGGUGGUACUUUUGAGAUUCAGCAACGCAGUGCCAAUCUGUCUAUUCCUGAAGGGGAUGCACUACGUGAGUCACCCUUAUGGUUUUACACACACGUUUCAUCUAUUCUGCACCCACCGAUUCCACCCCCUCAGGACUUCCCAUCCGCAGGAACAUCGCUGUUGCCACACGAAGAGGCACCCAGGGUGCGGCUACCGCGCAGAGAGGGGCGAAGAGGGGUGGUUGCUGACAAGCCGUAAAACGCUGGAAUUACUAUUUCCGCUUAGGAGUGGAUGUCCUGGGCCUUUAAUAAAUUCCUCCCUCUUUUGGUGUCCUUGUGACAAUUGAAAAGUCCUGUAUAUCAACCAGAUGAUCAUUAAAGCUGACGUAGACUGGCUGAAGAGAAUCUUUUAUGAAUGAAGAUCGGGUUGCCGGAUUUUGUGAUUCUCAAAUUUUUGGAGUAUCCAAACCUUCCCUUAUUAAGUGGUCCAGGGAUGCUGGACGCACAGAGUGUGUUACAAUGAAGAAAAGAAGAAGGCCCGACACGGACUCCGCGAUUGCUGUUGUUUUCCAGCAAGAUUAAUGCCCCAGCGUAUCCGUAGCCGCAAACCAGCAACACGGUCGGCAUCGUUACACAAUAGAAGUGGUUUCGCAAAUUACCGCGUACCUAUAUCCACUGACUCAUCAUGGGGCAGAUGGCGCGCGUGCUUCAAAGAAGCGUGCCUGGUGAGAUUGGUCGCGUGUGGUCGAGGGUUGCAAAAUAUUUCAUGGAAGUGCGAAAAAG